UCAGACAAAUAUCAGAGCUAUUUCUUCACUGCUCUCUUGAUCCCAUGAGAUACUAUUCUGCAACAGGUCAAGAGGCCAGCCUCCCACGGGUAUCUUUCUCUAGUUUUAGAAUUUAUUCGGGGGGAUAACAAUCUCUGGGACCGAACUCCUGAGCAUCGAACCACGGACUAUUCCAAGAAGAAAUCAUUUCAAGGCGAAUAAAGACUCAACUCAAGCUGAAAACAGUCCCCUUAGUAUAUCAGAGGGGACCUUUAGGCAAGUGGCAUCUUGCCAGCGAAUCGACUCUAAACAAAUCUGUAGCAGCCCGGAGGUGCUGGAGGGGAGUUUCAGAAACAGUCGGCGCUGGGAGGACAGUGCAACAGUUGACAGGAAUUGCCUCACUCCCACUUGGAGGCUCAUCGUCUGCAGAUCUCUCUGCUCAUCUCUGCAGCUUCAAAACAGCACGCAGGAAUCAGAGACGGUUACAUCAGGAGAUCAGGAGAUCAGGAGACCCUGGAGACAUUCUAGUCCAUCUCUUUGAUUGCGCAGCCGAGGAAUCCGAGGCACAGAGAAAUGAAAGGAUUUGCCCCAAGCCACACAGUGGAGAACUGUGAACAGAGCCUGGAUCUCUCGUUCAAGUAUUUCCAGGCCCUGGUCACUUAUGUAUCAGCUAAGCAGGAGACGUGGCGACACGCGGCUUUGCUUCCCUGCUGAUUGAACUCUAUUCCUGGUGCAGAGCUCGAGCAUCAAUCAACAAACAGUAGGAAGAGAGACGUGGCCCCAGCGUACGGGAGCGGCACGUGAUGGGCCCUUGCAGACUUGGGCACCUGGGAAUACAGACCUCCAGCUUCCCUGACACGUAGGCAUGGGCCUCAGACAUUUUCAGGUGUGCAACGUAGUGAUUCGGCUCUCCCUUCAGGGUUUUAAAAUCACUCUGGGGCUCCAGGCAUCACAGCCUCAUGAGGCCUUGUCUCCAGCAAGAAGAGCGGAGUGUUCCCAGCCGGUCUCUUCGUUUAUCAAGGAGGCCCUGGUUUCGCAGAGGUUCUCAACAGAAGCCACGGCAAGUCCCAGGAGUAAGGACUGGGUCACCUGCCUGUGCUCGAGCCCCAAACAAGGCUGGUAAUUUGCUAGUCUCUGCAGCAGGACGUGGGGGGCCGAUGCCGAGAGGGAGAACGACUGCGAGGUGGGACCUCACUCUGGAACGUCUUGCUGUGGAUUCCACAGGCGUGAGUACCACUGAGGAGCCCUGUGUUGCCAGGCUGCCACAAAGGCAAAUGUGACGGCAUGGAUGGAAGAAAAGAUAUUUAACUUGUGUGUGUGUGUGUGUGUGUGCGUGCACACACACACAAAAUCAUCAAACAUAAUGUUGAACGACUAUGGUCGCGAGACAUGAGCUCUUUAAGGAUAAUGUGGGAUAAUCGAGUUGUCUUUCAUUCAUUCAACUGACACCUGACUCAUCUUUUCUGUGACAGACUUCUCCAUCAAGGGCUGAAGUUACAAAUAUGAGUAAAAAAAGUCUCUGGUGUCGGGUGCCUGGGUGGCUCCGUUGGUUAAGCGACUGCCUUCAGCUCAGGUCAUGAUCCUGGACUCCCUGGAUCGAGUCCUGCAUCGGGCUCCCUGCUUGGCAGGGAGUCUGCUUCUCCCUCUGACCCUCCUCCCUCUCAUGCUCUCUGUCUCUCAUUCUCUCUCUCUCAAAUAAAUAAAAUCUUAAAAAAAAAAAAAAAGUCUCUGGUGUCAAAGAGAUCCUGGAUAAUCACGAGAGAGACAAUCUAGUGAAGACACAGUGUUGCUCUGAGGCAGACAUAAGAUACUGGGGUGAUGCACAGGGGUGCUUUAUGAAACCCAGUGGCUCCCAGUAUCAGGAGCCAGGACUGGCCGGUGGUCUCUCACUUUCCUAGCUCAUAGUUUCUUCCCUCCGUACCUUCUCUCUUUCUCCUCUCUGCCCGCGUGACUGCAGUCAGACGCCCUACAACCGAUGGGCUCCCCCGCAGUUGC